AUUGAACGCUGGCGGCAUGCCUUACACAUGCAAGUCGAACGGUAACAGGUCUUUCGGGAUGCUGACGAGUGGCGAACGGGUGAGUAAUACAUCGGAACGUGCCUAGUAGUGGGGGAUAACUACUCGAAAGAGUGGCUAAUACCGCAUGAGAUCUAUGGAUGAAAGCAGGGGACCUUCGGGCCUUGUGCUACUAGAGCGGCCGAUGGCAGAUUAGGUAGUUGGUGGGAUAAAAGCUUACCAAGCCUGCGAUCUGUAGCUGGUCUGAGAGGACGAUCAGCACCACUGGGACUGAGACACGGACCAGACUCCUACGGGAGGCAGCAGUGGGGAAUUUUGGACAAUGGGGGAAACCCUGAUCCAGCAAUGCCGCGUGCAGGAUGAAGGCCUUCGGGUUGUAAACUGCUUUUGUACGGAACGAAAAGUCUUGGGUUAAUACCCUGGGAUCAUGACGGUACCGUAAGAAUAAGCACCGGCUAACUACGUGCCAGCAGCCGCCGUAAAAC
rnacentral:rRNA from 1 species